UCCACAUCUUAUAGACAGACAGGUGUCAUACUGUCUUCUCAGACACUUUUUAUCCUUGAUGCAAAGCAAAUCUCACUCAACCCUUUGCAGACCUCUGAACUGUCAAAGGUCUAGAAUAAAGAGACACCCCGGUAAUUGCAUCACGUGAGUGGGGAGGAGGUUGGAGGGAGUCAUCACUCAAGAAUGCAUGCCCGCAUGUCAGCUCCUAUACGGGAUCUGGCACUGGACAUGUUAGAUCAUGCACGGAGGAGAUGCACAGGGUACACUGCUGCUGGCAGAUGCAUGCUGCUAAGCCGGGUUGCUUUGAAGGUCAAGUCUUAACAGAGACCAUCUCUGAGUGUUGCUGUUGGAAAUAUGAAAGUCUGUAAAAUGAGGUCUCUCAGCUGGAAAGAAUGUAAGGCUCUCAGAAGUGGUGGGUGAUCACAUUGUGCCACAUCAGUAUUCGCAUUUUAAAAGUAUGUGACACCAAAUGGUAUAAAAAGUGUUAGAUGCCAAUGGUAUGAAUAAUGUUCUUGGCUGUACCAGUCCUAUCUGAUUGUGCAGCAUAGGAGAAAUUUUGAUAUUUGUAUAUUUAAUUUAUUUAUUGAGUGUAAUCCUUUUCUCUUGCAGAAUUUAUUGCAGCUAACUCUAGUAGAGAGAGAUCAAGGGAAACAGGUACUACAUAUGCAAGCCUAGGCUCUGGUAGAUAGAGGAA
rnacentral:lncRNA from 1 species